CUGGCACUGACCCCAGCACCAGUACCAGUACUGACACUGACCCCAGCACUGGCACCGACACCAGCACCGAAACCAGCACCAGUGCCAGCACCAGCACCACCACCGGCACCAGCACCAGUACCAGCACUGACCCCAGCACCACCACCGGCACGGAUGCCAGCACCAGUACUGGCACCAGCACUAGCAAUGACCCCAGCACCACCACCGGCACCACCACCGGCACCAGCAAUGGCACCGGUACCAGCACUGGCAUGAGCACCAGCACCGAUACCAGCACCACCACCAGCACCAGCCCCACCACCAGUACCAGCACUGACCCCAGCACCACUGGCACCAGCACCGACACCAGCAUUGACUCCAGCACCACCACCAGCACCAAUACCAGCACCAGCACCACCAGCACUGACACCAGCAUGAACACCACCACCAGCACCAGCACCUACCCCAGCAUCGACACCAGCACCACCAGCACCACCACCACCACCAGCACCGGCAGCCCCCAGCCCCCAGUGACUCCCGGACGCCACCGCACCGAUGCAGACGGCGGCGCCGCCGCCAGUGCUGAGCGCCCAAGCGGGGCCGUGGAGCCGAGCGGGAGCCCAGCGGAGGUCUGGGGGCGCUGCCCCCCCCCGGGGGUCCCACGGGGGGGCCAGGAGGAGGCCAAGGAGCUCAGGGACCCAGGACCCCGGGGUGCUGCGGUGCUGGGGGGGGGCACGGCGGAGGCAGAGCCGCGGCCCCCCGGUGCGGUGAGGGACGCCCCAAACGCCGACGGCGCGGCGCCCCCGCAGACACCCCCCACCGGGCCACGGGAUGCCGCAGGAUGCGGCCACCCCCCAGCGCUCAGCAGCACCGCGCCGCGGGCACAGCCUGGGGUCCCGGAGCCCCCACCCGGGGAGGACGCAACCGACAUCGUCCGCGGCCUCAUCCUGGAGCUCUCCAACCUCAAGUAAGGGGGGGGCAAACCCGAAUCACCCCCAUUUUGGGGGGGGGGGCAAA
rnacentral:lncRNA from 1 species